rnacentral:lncRNA from 1 species
CAGAAAUAAGGUUGGAGUAAAAAACUAAAAACUGUGGAAAGACAUCUCAUGCAUGAGAUUAACCAUCGGAGUAUGAACUGAAGGAUAAAUGUUGUCAUUGUGUUAAGAAAAAAGAAUCAGCACGAGCCUCAAGCAGUCAAGAAAUGUAAUCUUUGAUUUUUUUUAUGUUUUUGUGUUAGAAUAAGAAAUGGUGUACGACAGGCCUAAAGCCUCCAACAGGUCACAGGAACACAAUAUCGCACAAGAAAACACACGAGCACAUGUGCUUUGGCGGCUGGAAUGACUUAGCCUUUUCUGGUUCUCUUCUACUAAUAUAGCCAAUGCGAGCUAUGAACCAGGCUGUGCUAGCCGAUAAUAAAUGCAGAAUAUUACCCAACUAAUCAGCCUAUUACUUCACAUUACUCUAUGAUGAAACUGAGCUGAAGUAAAUGAUAUGAACCUAGACACUAGCAUGCACCUAGGAACAGGAUUAUUUCCAACAUUCUCCCUAAAAUUGCUAUGUUUUGACUUGGAGUUGAUGCGGACCUUUCCAAUCCUAUCAAGAAGCUCAAGGGAUCUGACUCGCCCGAGUGCUUUCGUUUUAAUGUGAGCGAGCUGGCCCUUAGUGCCAACAAAAUCAGCAAUAAUCUUCUCAUCAUCCAAGCACUCCCUGAUGAAGUGGUACUGUGGUAGCGCAUAUUGAUGCGUUCGCUAUGCUCAUGGAAGAUGGGAUUCUUCAGCGCUAAGUCUGACUUGUCAACAACCUCGAGCUCGACAGUGCUGGUGCCCCUUCCCUUGAAGUCGCCAAGACCGCUUGUGUGGCUGCUGUUGCGGCAGCGACAUACUCUGCCUCGUAGGACGAGUGCCACAGCCUUCUGCUUAAGAGCAUGCCAAUACACCCAGCUAUUGUCGUAGAAGAAUAGGCCACCAGAUGUACUCUUCCUUGUGUCAACAUAGCCAGUAAGGUUGUUAUCACUGUACCCGAGUCGCAUCUCCCUUGUCAUCCCAUAGUAGCAACGGAGACUUAGUCCCACCAACAUAGCACAGGAUCCACUUCACUCUUACCAUGUGUUCCUCCAUAGGCUGCUCCAUGAAGUGAUUCACAUACCCCACGCUGAAUGUGAGGUACGGUCACGUGUGGACAAGGUAUCGAAGGGUUCCAAUGAUCCUACGUUACAGAGUGAUGUCCACCUCCGCUAUUGUUCUGUCACGGCUCACCUUGAGCCGCUACUCCAUGAGGGUGUGCGCAGUAUUGCAGUCUUGCAUCCCUGCCAUCUCCAGUAUGUGCUUGGCAUAGUGAGUUUGGCACAGAGUGAUGCCGUUGCUGCUUUGCUGUACCUCGAUUCCAAGGUAGAAGGAGAGCAAUCCCAAGUCACUCAUCCUAAACCUUGCCUUCAUUUCUGCCUUGAAGCGGUUGAUCUCCACCGCAGUCGGUCUAGUAAUGAUCAAAUCAUCCACAUACACCCCAAGGUGGAGCAAGUCACCAUGGGUUCACCGGUACAUUUCCAGCUUGUGCAGGCUCUGCUCGAACCCAAGAGCUCGUAGUGGCGUGUGCAGCUUCUCGUUCCAAGCUCACGACAACCCAUAAAACACCUUCUGCACGCACAACAGCUUGUGCUCAGACCAAGCGAUGGUGAAGCCCGGUGGCUGCGGGACAUAAACUUCCCCCCAAUUCGCCGUUGAGGAAUGCCAACUUCACAUCCAUGUGAUGCACCGGCCAACUUUCUUGUGCAGCCAUAGCUAGCAGCAGUUGCACGGACUCAAGGCAAACCACACACGUGAACACCUCGUUAAAGUCGAUGUCCAGCUACUGCACAUAGCCCUUGGCGAUGAGGCAAGCUCUGUGCUUGAUAACAGCUCCAGUCUCAUUCUUCUUGAUCUAUAAGACCCACUUCAGCCCGAUGGCGAUGCCCAUGAGGAAGUUCCACCGGCCACCAUGUGUCGUUCUGCUUGAUGAAGUCCAUCUCCUCAAACAAGGCCACCUGCCAUGUUGGGUCGUGCUCUGCUUCAGCAAAGGAGCGAGGUUCACCCUCCUCGCUGGCCAAUAGCAGCCCCUCACCAUCGCCGACGUGAUUGGUAAGGCUAGGCCAUCUACCAACAGCAAGAAGUAGCGGCGCUCGCCGGAUGCCGCCGGCAACAAGUCACAGGAACACAAUAUCACACAAGAACACAGGAGGUCACGAGCACAAGUGUCUUGGUAGCCAGAAUGACUUAGCUUGUUCUAGUUUUCUCUUCUACUAACAUAGCCAAUGUGAGCUACAAAUCAGGUUGCGGUAGCCCCUAAUAAAUGAAUAAUAUUGCCCAACUAAUCAGCCUAUUACUUAUUAUCCAUGCUAAAAUUUAGCCAAAGUAAAUGCAAUGAACCUAGACACUAGCAUGCACCUAGACAUGUUUCCAACAGUGCCAAACAUGUUUCCACCAGAGUAAUGUAGUGCAAUCAGUCAUACCACAAAGUAAGAUUCAUCCUGAGAAUCAAUCGACUCUAUGUAUGGUGCCAUCUCCCACCCUGUAUUACCAAAGUAGUUACACAUGGUGAUAAGAAAAUAUAUACUAAAAAUCCUGUUAAAUACAUAGCAUGGGAAAAUACUGUAUAAGUUAAAAAAAAUGCAUCCUCUCCGAAAAAAGACAAGGUCUAUAGUUUGAAUGGUCUUGUCAAUAAAUAUUAGGCUUAUUAAACUCCCUAUGAAAAAGGUGUGUUGUCUCCUACAUACAACUAAUAAACAUUAAUCAAUCACUUUCCAUCCUCGUGCAUGCAUUCAACAUUGUAAGAGACACUAAUUAGGGUAGAUAGUCCAGUAAUCUUUUAUGCCUUCUUGGUUCAUGUGCUAAGAUGAGAUUUAUUUAUACUUGUCUGAGGGAAUAUGCAGUAUUAGUUAAAAAGAAAUAGUCCAGAUCAUGUCAAACUUUGUUCAAGUGCUAAGGUUGUCCUCACCCGAGAGCCUAUCACAUCGUCUAUAUUUUAAAAUCCACUUUACCUGAAGUGCCAAAACAGUGUUUUGCACACCUAUUUUAGACAUACUGGUGAUGACAGCUUAAGAUAAGAUCUAAUGUAUACCUUAGAGUUUAGGCUGAGAGAGUAUGCAGUAUUAAGUAAACAAAUGGCCCGCAUGGACACAUACAAAUAAAAACUGAAAUGGUAUGUCAAAGUCAAACCAUAACAUAGCUUGAUUUUCCAUGCCAUCUACUAAACAUUUUUUCAUUUGGACUUCUAUUCGCAAAAGAAACAUAAAAGUUUGUCAGCCUUAGUUCAGAAGAAGUGACAAUGCCUUCGCAUGAUCAGAAUAAACUAAAUGCUAUCACUAAACAAACUACUUUACUCUCCAUGCAUAUGUGAAAAACAACUAAACCAGAACUCGCAUUUAAAAAAAAAAAUAGAAAGAAUGCCAAUUGAAGCCAUCUUUGUCGCCUAGAACUCUAUUUGCAAAUAAACUUCUUUGCAUGCUUAAAACAGGAGCACGAAAUUGCAAGUUCCCACAAGGAAUGAGAACAGACAUACCAGACAUUUCAUCAACACGACUCCUCCGGCUCACAUACAAGCAUUGUGCAAGUACAGCAGCCUGCUGUAUAGCCGAUAGUGAUAUUUUUGCACUGGGGUUCGUGGCGUCUUCACUGGCAGAAUUACUCCCAUCUUGCACCAGUCUGGGCAUUCUUAGUAUGUCACAGAAUUCAUCGUCUUCAACAGGAACGAAGCUCCUUGCAUUUUUCAAAGCUGCAUUGUCAUUCUGAGCUACUGUGGGUUCUGUCACUUGUCCUUCAUCAGGGCCUGACUUAUUGGUCUUCGCAACAAGCACCAUUUGAGACUUCGCAUCCACCUAUAACAAUAGUUGGCUCGCUUCAUUUUUCAAGAACAGAUGUUCUCUCUUUACAUAAUAGAAAGGUCAAACGCUGUUACUCCUCCAUUUUGUCAUGUGAGCACAAUGGCAUAGGCCUUGUCAAUUCACUAAGUGUGUCUAUUUCAGGAAACGGAUGGUGUAGUUAUUCAAAUAUGUCUUUUCUCUACUGUACUUCACUGCUGUUGCAGUAUGCCACUUAAGUAUAUGUAGUAAAAUGCAAUUAAUAUUUGUCCAACUUAGAACCAUCUUAGCUUGUGUGCACAGUAAGCUUGAAUUUGGUGAAAAAACUAAAGGUAUUCCCUCCAUCCCAAAUUUUUUAGAACGUCACAAAAGACAUGCGAGUCAUUUCAUUAAGAAGAUAGAUAAAAAAGAACGAGGUGACAGAAGAGUCAGCCCCGUGUACAAGGCUGGUUAGGCCAUAGGCAACCACUAACAGCUCAGCCUAACCCCCGGAGAUGAGUUGGCGGGUGAGAAGCUCCUGAAAACCGGAGGCUCCCGCCAUACUCCAAAGAGUACACUCAUUCUCCACUUUUUGUAGGACAGAUUGAACAACAGACCUUUUAUCUUCAAACACACAAGCAUUCCGAUGCUUCCAAAUCUCCCAGGUGAUCAACAUGAUGGCGUUUUGGCUUUUCUAGUUACAUGUGUGUGUGUGUGUGUUUUAAAUACGAGUAAAAGCAAUGUAUCUAGAAAAGACAAAACAUCUUACAAUUUGAAACGGUGGGAGCAUGUUUUGUUUAGUGUGUUUUGUGAAACAAAAUGAUGUAUCUAUAUCAAUCAAACUCAAAGAAGAUGGUGUACAAAACAUGAAGAAAAAAAUCAGAGUACAGUAUAAUCCACCUGGUAUAUUGUUCGGAAACCAAGGAUCCCUGUAAGGGAAAGGUGCAGACCACAUGCUUCUUGUGCGCUAUUGAGAUGCAACCUACCCAAACAUCCAGACAAGACCAUAAGUAUUUGUUCAUAAAUGGCUAUCAGUUUUCCAAUCCUACGUAGUUUGAAUACGUAUUGCCUGAAUGCCUAAGGAUAUGUUUAUGGUUGCUGACUUGCUGUGCCAUGUUGUGCUGCACUGCACAGGUUACCCAAGCUUACUAUAAUUUUCAGUUACAGAUCCUAAAAUGAUGCUUCCAAUCAAUGGCAGAAGAUAGUUGAAGGCCAAACGGGGCCAUGCCUGCCCACACAUCCAACCAGAAAAAAAAUGGAGAUUUCUUUAAAAUUGUAGUCUUUAAAUUUGAUGAUAUGUGCAGAUUACAAGUUUACAACUACUGGCCCCUCCCAGAAUCUACUGGAACUUCCUUCGGUACUCUUUCAAAGUUCCAACAACUGCAUGAGAAUAAGUUAGAAACAAACAACCAAUCACAGUGACAAGAGGAGCCUAAGAUGUUAUAAUUCUGAGAAACGGUUUACAAUAAGAGAACAUAUCAAGUGCAACCGUACCUAUUGGUGCAACCGUGCGACCAAGGCACAAAGAUAAAAAUGGGAGGGCCUUCCUAAAAAUAUUCUCUUUCAAAACAACACUCCCACAUCCCCCUAAAUAUUUUUAAAAAUGUCAUCUCACCUCAAUCCUUGUGUCUUAGUUGCACGGUUGCACCAAUAGGAAUGGUUGCACCUGAUAUGUUCCCUUACAAAAAUAUAUACAUCAUUUAUUUUCUAAUGUUUACUUUUGGCAAUCCUAAGAAAUAGUGUUCAUGUAACUUUAGUAAUGUGGCCUUGUUCUCUUACAAGCAAGCAAAGAACUAAUAUUCUGAGGAAAUUUAAUCCUCUCAAACUAAGAGUGAAAAAGAGAUCUGAGGAAUUUAAAGCUCUCAAACUGAGAGUGACAAACAAACCUUGAAGCAUCAACCCGACCAUAUUUGUAUUCCACGAUUCCAGCCUCUAAGAAAGCAGCUGAAACAAAAUAAGAACCUUCUCCAUCAGACAGUAAACAAUCCCAGUAGGUAGAAACCUUUUCCAGUUCACCAAAAUGAUCCAACAUCUUAUUCUUGUACACUUGCACUUGAUCAAACAGAGACGAUGAUAACUCAUCCAAGAUGUUCUGCUGCAACAUUGAUAUUCUAAACAACCACCAUGACACGCUCCAGCAAUCAGAGAGAUCCAGACUCUGUACGCUGGUAAACAAAAGCCUUGCAAAUACAAUGAACUGCAAAAAAAUAAGAUAACAACUCGAAAUACUGUAAAUACAGAACCAGGAAGACAUUUUGUGUCUGCUGAAUUUGGCAAUGAACAAACAAAAUCAGAUGCUUUGCCACCAUUUGUGGUACUAAAAGGCUCAGCUCAAUACAAACCAAAGCUUUUUAUCACGGAAAUUGGUUUGACUUAAACACAAGUACAGCCAUUUGCAAUACUAGACACCAAUAGAAGAUGAGUUAUGGUGUAUGGAACUAUGGGCACAAGCUAAUGGCCCCUCUAUAAAUUAAAUAUGUUAAAAACAUAAUAAAAAACUGUAUGAUGUACUUCACAAUUUAUACAAUGUAUUAUUAUGGGCAAUUCGGGCUGCAGGGUUUGGCCCCCCAACCAACGGAUAUUAAUUUUAUGGAGUGGUGGCAUCAAACAAAUGAAGCUAUUCAGGGGUCCUUCAGAGAUGGCCUAAACUCCCUCAUUAUGCUGGGCGCUUGGAUUUUGUGGAAUCUCCGGAACAGAUGCAUCUUUGAUGGCCUUUCCCCUAAUGUUGCUAAUUUCCUAAUCCAUGUGGGGGAUGAGCGCCGUCUGUGGGAGACUGCCGGGGCCAAGGGGUUGACAUCCCUUGUUGCCUCCCUAUCUCAUGUAGCCUAGAGUUUUUAUAGAUGAGUCAGUCUAUGCUAGUUUCGUUCAGGCCGCCGUAAGGCGUCAGUUGUACCCCGGUCUAUUUUAGACCUUGUUUAUUUCUUCCUUUAAUAUAAUGAUACGCAGCUCUCCUGCGUGUUCGAGAAAAAAAAAUAGAAUGUAUUAUUACACUAAUAAUGUAAAGCAGUUAGAAUGAUCGGCACUCCAUAUCUAGGAUUCAAUUAUGUUUGGUACUUUGGUGGAGGCAUUUCUUGUUGUAGAUGAAAUGAAUUUGUGAUUGUUCAUAAAGAAAUAUCUAAGCAAGUAAGUAUCAACAUAUGGCAUAGGGGUACCAAGAGUAGCAGAGAAAAUAGCAAGGACAACAGGGAGCAAGUCUUGUCAUUGUAGAGUAUGUCUACGAAAUCAUGACAUCAAUGCCUAAAGCAUAGAGAUUUUUAUAGAGGUUUGGGCCACGGGGUGUGUAAUACCCUAUAUCCUCUGGCUAAUCAUCGAUUGAUGAAUCCAGGUCACAAAGAUUACCAGCCCCAACACCAGUGAGCUCCAAGACCUCCUAGAUAUGGAGUGUGUUGUGGUAAGCUAGACUACCACCAACUUUUGCUACUUUCACUGGAUCAAAUUGAUCUCCCUUGGCUAGUGUUGGGUGGAAGUCUCAACGGAAUCCCUUUUAAUGCUGCUCUACCUCUCCCUUCUGUAGCCCAAGGGAAUGGUUGAUCUUACAUGUAUAUUCUACUACAGGCCCUACCUAUCAUCAGGCAAACUGCUCCAGUCCUGUCACAUCCUUGCAUAAUUGCAGGUCCUUUGCCUUGUAAUCAUGCAUUAUGUGUCGGGCAUGCGUCGGUGUAAUUGUACUUGUUGAGGUGACCUACCGGGGGCCCUCCUCACUCUGCCUUAAUGGAGCUGAUACAACGUGAUAGAAGCCUAGUAUGGUUCCGAGUACCAUUUAUUACAUGAAAGUACUUUCAUACUACCUAGUCAUCGCUUUUUACCAUUCCUAGUAACUGACAUAAUUGCCUAACCAGAUAUGGUCUUAAACAUGAGGUCAUGCAUAUACUCUAUAGUGGCAUUGGAUACACAUGUACCCCUUGAGAGCGUGUCAAGGUGAAAGUGUGUCUGUAAGGUCAUCCACUGCAUUUUAAUGUGGUACUCAGGCUCCCGCAAUCACCCCUUCCUAUGGUGAUCACCAUACCGAUCGCAGAGGCAGGUAUGAUAUCUGCAUCUACGGACACCCGGGCCACCUGGCUUAAUAUGAUUGGUAGCCAGUGUAGCCCUCUGUACUUGAUUGUGUUUUAUGGUACACUUCACGUGCGCACGCGUGGCUAUGGGAUCAAUGCAUGUACUAUGUAGUGAUUUCAAGUGUCGUACAGCCUAAGUCAUGCCUAAGUCAUGUCAACACACUUAGUCAGGCAUGUAAUGUCGUCCAUCACACAUUUAAUGUGUUGUACCCGAGACUUAUAUACUAAGCUUUUGCUACCGAUUUAUCCUCAUGUGUAGGGUCCAUUCCAGGGGCAUACUAUCCCUAGUGGGCCUAACACAUACUUCUAUCAUAGGAUAGGAUUACACUUAGCUGCCCUGAGCUCUUAACUCCUUCGAGGCCCCAGAGGACAUAGAUCCAAGCCGCCCUCAAAGUAUGAGGUCAGGAACUCUAGGAGCCUUGGAGCCAAAGGAGGGCCUUGAGCAGCUAAGUGUCGUAGUCCCUGGAGGAUGUACUACCUUGUGCACUUGUUUCCUUGUUGCCCUAAGAUGCGAGGGGCCCUGAAGAUGCUCUGAAGACUUUCAUAACUGCCCUCAGACUAAUGGGUGCCCUGGGGUAUGGGAUGCCCUGAGGACUUCCAUAACUGCCCUAGGGCACGAAGGCGCGAACUUAGUCUCUGAUCAAUGUCCCAUGGCACAAGGUGCUUUAGGGUCUUUGAAUAUUCUACCCCUAGAUGUCCCGAUGCACUAGGGGCUUCGAGCCUCACAACACGUAGUAUGCUAGAAAGGCCAACGCGCCAUCCAACAGUUGGGUUAUUCCAUCUGUAUGCCUCUGUAUAAAGUCACUUAGACUCAAGCCCCUCCCUUGGCCAAGGCUAGAGAAGGUCCCUAGGUCUCGAGGCCCCGGGAGCAGUGGUCCCUAAAGUUAGUCUCUCGAGUCGGGUUCUCUGUGUGCGUCUUGACGACAGCCGGGUAAAUGGCCUUCCCUAAACGCUGACAAGCGUCAUGAUCUUUAAAAACGUUGUGUUGUCGCAAUCUCUCAUUUUAAACUUUGAUAAUGUUAUGUGCCAGGCAAACUUGGACUGAGGCUAUCUCCGGCAUCUUACUCAUCCUCAUCUCUCAUUUCAAACUCCAUUUUGUAAACAGUGCAGUGUACAAUGCAAAACAGUACAAAACGGUGUUUUGCACGGUCAAAUGCACGAUCUGCUGGCCAUAGCCUGACCAGGCUAUAGUCUAGUACAGUUCACAUGACUAACCUUUAGCACCCAAGAUGAUGUAACAUAUGCUCAAGAAAAAUGUUAUAUGACAUCAACAUAAAGUCCAGCUACUAUAACUUUGCCAUUUCACAAAUUUCAAAACCCGCCAUCCAAGUCUUUCAUCAACAACAUGUUAUUCAAAAAACAUAGAUCAACUAAUUACGAAAAGGUCAAAGAAGAGGUGUGCAUGAAUUGGACCAAAAAUAACAUGAAAACAUCACUUUAACCAAUAUAUUAAAUUCCCAGACAUAAAUAGAGAAAAUAAAGAAGCCAACCCCAACAUACAUACCUGCAAGAGUGAAAAUUUCCCAUGAACAUGAGAGCCAAAAGAAGCUAAAUUGUCAGAAGCCCAUGCAUCCCAUGUGUCUCCAAGAUUACUAUAGCAUCUUUCAUCAAAAGAUGACAUUGAAAAAGGAAAAGUGGGAAACUUCCUUGGAGGCCUAAAAAUAAUUUUGAAGACAAAUAUAUAUAUCAAAAACUAGUACCUCCCUAAAAAAUCCAACAGGUUUAGGUUAACAUGAAAAGGUAAAUCAGAUUUGAUAGUCAUGUCAGUUGUAAUAAUAGAAGCCUGUAUUACAGCUAGAUAUGAAUCAGAGUAUCAAACAGAAUACAAUGUACUAUUUCAUCAUAUAAGAACACCAGUCACCAGCUCAUCCUUUCUUUUUUAUAAAUUGUUUUCCUAUGGUAUACAGACAAUUUGCUUUACAAAAGAAAGUAUUCUCAAAAACCAAAUCAAUUACAGCUCAAACAGUAUUACUAGACCAUGAAACUGCAGAUGUUCCCGUAACCAAAACAAUAGAGCACAUGUGCAGACCAUAUUCUGUUGCAUGCAUCUCCAGCAAGAAGCCACAAACAGUUCCUGAAAAAUGUAUGCCCUCUUUGACUCCAAAUGCAGGUCAUUUUAGGCUUUUGCAUAUGGGUCAAGAAAGUAGAUAAAAUGACCUCAGUGCCCUUAAUGCAUACUCCAUUGGGACAAAUGACUCAUUCAUUUGUGAGGAAAAAUAACAGUAAUAUUAAUAUUUAUUAGGCAGGAGCAAAGAGGGAACAAAAGGACAUGAGUUCUAGGACAACUUAUAUUUAUUGAAAAUUAAGUAGGUUAAAAUGACCUAAAUAUAGAAAAUGGAGAUAGUAUGUAAAUGUAACCACAUUGCAUUCCCUCACCAAGUCAACACAGUUGCCUGUUCCCUCAACUACAUCCAUCUGACUGACAUGUACAAGGAGUAUACUACAUAUUAGCAAUCAAGAGAAUUCCCAUUUUUGUUUCAUGUCAACAUUCAGGAACAAGCUAGAUAAUCUUAAUAUCUUACUUGGCAAACUGCAACGAUAUUCUACUUUGCCACAUUUUAGAACUAUGUGAAAUUAGCAAUUUUGAAAGUGCCUUUAAAACCUGUGAUCGAAUUUACAGAAUGUUAAUUCUAGACAUUAACUGGAACUAGCCCAUCACAUUAUGUUGGACCAGACCAAUGCUUAAAACUAUAUCCUCAGUCUAGUAGGCAAGCUGUCAUUGAUCAAAAGACCCCAGGAUAUUUAAAAUCUAAUGUUUCCACUAAGUUAUUUGCCAACUAAUCGCACACAGUCAGCCGAGCGUUCCCUAAUCAUACAGUAAAAGAUUGAAGAGAGACAGAACCCAGAAACUAACUCACCCAGUCACGUUCUGUUGCGUGAACGCGAGCAGCGCGGCCACUGCAGCGGAAAGCACAACUGCGCACCUGCAAUCGAACCCCUCUCCCGCCGCUGCCCCGUCCCCAUCGACCAGCAGGAACGCCCGAGCUGCGGCACCUAGGUCGGCGUAGAACUGCGCGGCUGAGCCAGGAGGCCUAGAGGGGGCGAAUGCCGGAAAGAAGUGCGGCGCGGCGGUGGCGAGCGCAGCCUCGUAGUCGCCGGCCUCAACGGCAGCGAUCGCAGAGGCCGCGGCGGGACCGAGCGGAUGCGCAGGGGGAGGGGAAGCGGGUGGGGGCGGGGAAGAGGGCAGCGAGGGGAGAGUGCAGCGGAGGAGGCGGAGCUCGGCCUCGCGGAGGAAGCCGGGGCUCCGGGUGGCGCAAGUCAUGUCGCUGGCGGCUGUGACUUGUGAGGGUCAGGAAGAAGAAUUGAGAAGACUGCGCCCCGCGCGGGUUAUGUCCAUUCACUCCAUUGGCACUGGGCAGCACCGAGGUUUAGGGCUUUGUCUGGAACAUGUGAUUUUUUCCCACGUUUUUUUAAAGGAACAAUUGGAUCUAUACCAUUAAAAGAUCCAAACUUUAGAUAUAUAACAUAGACCCCACAUGUCAUUGACUCAUGUAGAUCCAUAUGUAAGUGAGAUAGUAAUGGUAUGGAUUCAAAGUGGUGAUCUUUUAAUGGUAUGGAUCCAAAUUUCCCUUUUUUAAAUAAACAACUGAAUCACUGAUUCCUGUUAUAUAUAAUUCCUGUACAAUUUCUACAUUCUAAAGAAGGUCUUAGGAUUUAACUGGUUAAUUUUAGUUAGAUAUUAAUUAAAUGAGAUAUUUAUUUAAAUAUGAAUAUAUUUUUUGAAUUAUUAGUAUAUAUUAUUAAUAUAUUUUUUAUACAACACAAACGGACACGCGGGAGGAUUUCUAGCGGCAGGCGCCUAUUACUAUUAUUGUGUUGUUGUAAAAGAAAAUAAUAAACUGUCAUCGAAUUUGAGCACAUAUUAUACUAUUUUAAAAAAAUUGAUUGUCGUACUCUUAUCUUUAUAUAUUUUGAGGUGUUUAAUUUCUGGGACCAAAGUUUAGUACGUGUCACAUCAGAUAUUUCAGUAGCUAUUACGAGUAUUAAAUGUAAUUUAAUUAUAAAACUAAUUAUACAUCUUAAGAUUAAACGAUAAGAAAAAUUUAUUAAGCAUAAUUAACACAUGAUUGGUAUUUUAUUGUAACAUCACAUAAUCGAAUCACGAACUAAUUAGGUUUAAUAGAUUCAUCUUAUCAUUCAGUACUCAACUGUGUAAUUAGUUUUACUAUUAGACUAUAUUUAAUACUUAACUAGCAUCCAAUGUGAUAGGGACUAAAAGUUUAGAUAGGGAAACAAACGGGCCCUUUGUAGCAAUCAUUAUCGUAACUAGGUGAGCGCCCGUCCGUUGCAACGGGAACAUGUAAUACCGUUGAAGGAAGGGAGCAGAGGGGAGGGUGUAUCAGCUGGACAGGGAAGAAGAGCACGGAUCUGGGGACGAUGAUAGCGGCGACGACGUGCAAGGGAGAGUGCGGCGCGAGGGUCGGGGCAACGGACAUGAGCUACGAUGUUAGGCUGGUCAGCCAACAACCCACAUAUGCGAGAGGCAGAACAAUAUUAUAUGAAUAGUGAUUAAUAUGAUAAAAUACAUUGAUAUGCAAACUCCCUUUUUUGAGAAAUGAAACCGUAGCCAUGCAGAGAACAGUAUAUGGCCAUUGUGCUAGAAUUUUGGCCUGACUUAGCGGUUGGAAGACUCAAACCAGCCACAACAAAAGUUUUUAGUAAAAUGUUCAUGAGUAGCACCAACAGGACUUGUUUUACGGCCUAAGCCCAUGAGGAAGUUGUCUGGCUUGAUAUCACGAUGAAGAAACCCCCUCGUGUGCAUGUACUCUACCCUAGAUAUUUGUAUGACAACAACAGGAAGACAUUAACUUGGCGAAAACCCACCAAAAAUAUUCAACAAUUGAGAAAUUGGGCCAUCAAUUUUAUAGUUAUGCCGCCAUACAGGUAACAAAAGCUAAAAAACAAAAUGAUAUAUCUCGCAAGAGAAACUAACCAUCUGAUCAGCUAGCAUAAGUAUUGUUUUAAGAGAAAACUUUCUGUUGCAGUAGUUGCAAAUCAUUGAGGCUUGGACCAAGAAGAUCAAUGACCAUGACAUUGUACUCCCCAUCCACUCCAAACCAUUUCAAAUGAGGAAUUCCAGCUGAAGUUUAGAAGAAAAAAUAUUGAAUCAGUGAAAGCAUAUGAAACAAACAGCCUUGUAUUAUUACUUACUUCCCCCUUGGAGAAGCAUGUAUAGUUUUGACUCAUAAUGAAGCUGAGGAUGCCUUGAUUUUACAGAUUCCUGGUAAACAUGAGAUGACGAAAAACGGCCAGGUAGCAUGCCUUGAGGCUGAAAGGGGUACUACCAAGACUAAGACUGAAAGAUCAUAUUGCUUGAAAAUGGCUAACCUCAUUCUGUCUGAAAACGUAAUACUAUAUGUUUAGGCUAGAAAUCCAUUACAUAUAGAACAAUAUAAUCUAAAUUUUCCAUAUGCAUUUCUCUAAAUUUUUAUUUAAUGUCCAUCCUGCAAAUUGGGUUACCAUACUAAGUUGUUUCCAUUGUCUCAGGUGCUCUUAAUGAUGCUGUUGCUAAGAAAUAUGAUUUGGAAGCAUGGUUCCCUGCAUCAAAGACCUUUUCGAGAGUUAGUAUCCUGUUCAAACUGCAUUGACUUUCAAAUUGCUCUCUGCACCUUCACCCAGAGUACGCUAGAAUAUUACCAGUUACUGAAACAACAUUUCCCAUGUAUGAGACAAAGUAGUGGGUAUGGGAUGAUCGCGUUGUCCUCUAUGUAACUUGAAUAAUAAGGUAAAAUGAUAAAAUAUUCUUUGAACGAAAUGUUGCUGACAAAUAUCCAAAAAUAAGGUAGAUCCAAACAAAUUAAUGGCACUAAAGACUGAGGCACGAGAAAAAUGACGUCCAUAUUUGUGGCUCACCAAUUCACCCAUGAGAAUGCAAAAACAUAAUUCCAAUAUUACAUCUUUCACACUGCAAGCAAACUAAGAAUAAACAAUAUGAACAAGUAUUAUUCUUGUUGCCCAAUAAACAAUACAGUUAUCAAUGAAAACAUCAAAGCUCCAAGUCCUUGCUUUAUAUCCCUGUAUUCCCAUCCGCUUCUAUCUAGUAUUUUAAUGGGUACAAAAACCAAAACUGAGGCACACAUUUUUUUGCUAGUCUCAAAACAGAGAACCAAAUCUAUAUUUUUUGCUAUUAUGAAAACAAAUAACUGAAGCAUAUAUUUUCUGGUAUUCUCAAAACAAAGAACUUAACCACAUAUUUUCUACAUAGGGCUAGACAGUUGUGUGUUGAGGCCAAUAUGGCGACAGCCGACAUCCGAUAGGCAAAUGUAUCUAAUAACUUGUCACAAAAAUGGAAUUCGCAUCGUAAAAAGAAACUACUCGAGCAUUGAGAGUCCAGCAGGAAAAAACAGACAUGUAGUGUUAAACAUAGAAAAAUGGGUCAUCACUAAGAAAUAAUUUCCAAGUACUACUUUCCUGAAGAUAAACAGUAAAUGGAAUGAUGUGGUUGCCAGUUGCCAGACACUUCAUCCCAAAUUCCCAAUUUCAGAAGGUAAGGUAAAAAUUCUUCAGCAAUCCAAUCAAUAAUUCAGACUCAAGAGUCAGAGCAUAACUAAAACCUAUUAGCUAUUGCUAUGCAAACUUCAUUCAAAGAAAC